AAGACCCUACGGGACGCAGCAGUGGGGGAUAUUGCACAAUGGGGGAAACCCUGAUGCAGCAACGCCGCGUGUGGGAAGAAGGUUUUCGGAUUGUAAACCACUGUUCUUGGUGAAGAUAAUGACGGUAAUCAAGGAGAAAGCUCCGGCUAACUACGUGCCAGCAGCCGCGGUAAUACGUAGGGAGCAAGCGUUGUCCGGAUUUACUGGGUGUAAAGGGUGCGUAGGCGGUCUUGCACGUCAGACGUGAAAACCACAGGCUCAACCUGUGGACUGCGUUUGAAACUGUGGGGCUUGAGUGAAGUAGG
rnacentral:rRNA from 1 species